GAUGAACGCUGGCGGCGUGCCUAAUACAUGCAAGUCGAGCGAACAGACGAGGAGCUUGCUCCUCUGACGUUAGCGGCGGACGGGUGAGUAACACGUGGAUAACCUACCUAUAAGACUGGGAUAACUUCGGGAAACCGGAGCUAAUACCGGAUAAUAUAUUGAACCGCAUGGUUCAAUAGUGAAAGACGGUUUUGCUGUCACUUAUAGACGGAUCCGCGCCGCAUUAGCUAGUUGGUAAGGUAACGGCUUACCAAGGCAACGAUGCGUAGCCGACCUGAGAGGGUGAUCGGCCACACUGGAACUGAGACACGGUCCAGACUCCUACGGGAGGCAGCAGUAGGGAAUCUUCCGCAAUGGGCGAAAGCUUGACGGAGCAACGCCGCGUGAGUGAUGAAGGUCUUCGGAUCGUAAAACUCUGUUAUUAGGGAAGAACAAAUGUGUAAGUAACUAUGCACGUCUUGACGGUACCUAAUCAGAAAGCCACGGCUAACUACGUG
rnacentral:rRNA from 1 species